rnacentral:rRNA from 1 species
AGUGAACGCUGGCGGUAUGCCUAACACAUGCAAGUCGAACGGCAGCACAGUAAGAGCUUGCUCUUACGGGUGGCGAGUGGCGGACGGGUGAGGAAUACAUCGGAAUCUACUUUUUCGUGGGGGAUAACGUAGGGAAACUUACGCUAAUACCGCAUACGACCUACGGGUGAAAGCAAGGGAUCUUCGGACCUUGCGCGUUUGAAUGAGCCGAUGUCGGAUUAGCUAGUUGGCGGGGUAAAGGCCCACCAAGGCGACGAUCCGUAGCUGGUCUGAGAGGAUGAUCAGCCAUACUGGAACUGAGACACGGUCCAGACUCCUACGGGAGGCAGCAGUGGGGAAUAUUGGACAAUGGGCGAAAGCCUGAUCCAGCCAUACCGCGUGGGUGAAGAAGGCCUUCGGGUUGUAAAGCCCUUUUGUUGGGAAAGAAAAGCAGUAGGUUAAUACCCCGCUGUUCUGACGGUACCCAAAGAAUAAGCACCGGCUAACUUCGUG